GAGUUUGAUCGUGGCUCAGGAUGAACGCUGGCGGCGUGCUUAACACAUGCAAGUCGAACGAAGCACUCAGGAGCGAUUUCGGUCAAUCCUGUUUGACUGAGUGGCGGACGGGUGAGUAACGCGUGAGUAACCUACCUCGCAGUGGGGAAUAACAGUUGGAAACGACUGCCAAUACCGCAUAAUGCAGAGAGACCGCAUGAUCUUUCUGCCAAAGAUUUAUCGCUGUGAGAUGGACUCGCGUCUGAUUAGCUAGUUGGUGAGGUAACGGCUCACCAAGGCGACGAUCAGUAGCCGGACUGAGAGGUUGACCGGCCACACUGGGACUGAGACACGGCCCAGACUCCUACGGGAGGCAGCAGGUGGGAAUAGUUGGGCAAGUGGGCGCAAGCCUGACCCAGCAACGCCGCGUGAAGG
rnacentral:rRNA from 1 species